rnacentral:tRNA from 1 species
GAGCGGGUUGGUGUAAUUGGUAACAUAAUUGGCUCAUGACCAGUAGUUAAACGUUCAAGUCGUUUGCCCGCACA